rnacentral:rRNA from 1 species
UGGGGAAUCUUGCACAAUGGGGGAAACCCUGAUGCAGCGACGCCGCGUGAGCGAUGAAGGUUUUCGAAUCGUAAAGCUCUGUCCUAUGGGAAGAUAAUGACGGUACCAUGGGAGGAAGCCCCGGCGAACUACGUGCCAGCAGCCGCGGUAAUACGUAGGGGGCGAGCGUUGUCCGGAAUUACUGGGCGUAAAGGGUUCGCAGGCGGCAUGGCAAGUCCGAUGUAAAAGGCGAAGGCUCAACCUUCGUAAGCAUCGGAAACUGUCAAGCUUGAGUGAAGGAGAGGCAAGUGGAAUUCCUAGUGUAGCGGUGGAAUGCGUAGAUAUUAGGAGGAAUACCGGUGGCGAAGGCGACUUGCUGGACUUCAACUGACGCUGAGGAACGAAAGCGUGGGUAGCAAACAGG